UACGAAGGGGGCUAGCGUUGCUCGGAAUUACUGGGCGUAAAGCGCGCGUAGGCGGGUUGUUAAGUCGGGGGUGAAAUCCUGGAGCUCAACUCCAGAACUGCCUUCGAUACUGGCGAUCUUGAGUCCGGGAGAGGUGAGUGGAACUCCGAGUGUAGAGGUGAAAUUCGUAGAUAUUCGGAAGAACACCAGUGGCGAAGGCGGCUCACUGGCCCGGUACUGACGCUGAGGUGCGAAAGCGUGGGGAGCAAACAGG
rnacentral:rRNA from 1 species